AGAGUUUGAUCCGGGCUCAGAUUGAACGCUGGCGGCAUGCUUUACACAUGCAAGUCGAACGGCAGCGCGGGGCAACCUGGCGGCGAGUGGCGAACGGGUGAGUAAUAUAUCGGAACGUACCCAGGAGUGGGGGAUAACGUAGCGAAAGUUACGCUAAUACCGCAUACGAUCUACGGAUGAAAGCAGGGGAUCGCAAGACCUUGUGCUCGUGGAGCGGCCGAUAUCUGAUUAGCUAGUUGGUGAGGUAAAGGCUCACCAAGGCGACGAUCAGUAGCUGGUCUGAGAGGACGACCAGCCACACUGGAACUGAGACACGGUCCAGACUCCUACGGGAGGCAGCAGUGGGGAAUUUUGGACAAUGGGCGCAAGCCUGAUCCAGCAAUGCCGCGUGAGUGAAGAAGGCCUUCGGGUUGUAAAGCUCUUUUGUCAGGGAAGAAACGGUUGGGGCUAAUAUCCCCGGCUAAUGACGGUACCUGAAGAAUAAGCACCGGCUAACUACGUGCCAGCAGCCGCGGUAAUACGUAGGGUGCAAGCGUUAAUCGGAAUUACUGGGCGUAAAGCGUGCGCAGGCGGUUUUGUAAGUCUGUCGUGAAAGCCCCGGGCUCAACCUGGGAAUUGCGAUGGAGACUGCAAGGCUUGAAUCUGGCAGAGGGGGGUAGAAUUCCACGUGUAGCAGUGAAAUGCGUAGAGAUGUGGAGGAACACCGAUGGCGAAGGCAGCCCCCUGGGUCAAGAUUGACGCUCAUGCACGAAAGCGUGGGGAGCAAACAGGAUUAGAUACCCUGGUAGUCCACGCCCUAAACGAUGUCUACUAGUUGUCGGGUCUUAAUUGACUUGGUAACGCAGCUAACGCGUGAAGUAGACCGCCUGGGGAGUACGGUCGCAAGAUUAAAACUCAAGGAAUUGAC
rnacentral:rRNA from 1 species